rnacentral:rRNA from 1 species
GAUGAACGCUGGCGGCGUGCUUAACACAUGCAAGUCGAACGGAAAGGCCCUGCUCUUGUGGGGUGCUCGUGUGGCGAACGGGUGUGUAACACGCGUGUAUCCCGCCCCUGUCUUUGGGAUAACUCUUCGAAACACGGGCUAAUAUACCAUAGAAUCUCUUGCUCCAUGGUGGGGGUUGGAAAGAUUGGGCUGUUGGGGCUAGACUAGCGGCUUAUCAGCUUGUUUGUGGAGUAGUUGCUUACCAAGGCUUCGACGGGUAGCCGGCCUGGGAGGGUGACCGGGCACAUUGGGACUGAGAUACGGACCAGACUCCUACGGGAGGCAGCAGUGGGGAAUAUUGCGCAAUGGGCGGAAGCCUGAUGCAGCAACGCCGCGUGCGGGAUGACGGCCUUCGGGUUGUAAACCGCUUUCGCCGGUGACGAAGCGUGAGUGACGGUAAUGGGUAAAGAAGCACCGGCUAACUACGUG